rnacentral:rRNA from 1 species
GACGAACGCUGGCGGCGUGCUUAACACAUGCAAGUCGAACGGAAAGGCCCUGCUUUUGUGGGGUGCUCGAGUGGCGAACGGGUGAGUAACACGUGAGUAACCUGCCCUUGACUUUGGGAUAACUUCAGGAAACUGGGGCUAAUACCGGAUAUGAGCUCCUGCUGCAUGGUGGGGGUUGGAAAGUUUCGGCGGUUGGGGAUGGACUCGCGGCUUAUCAGCUUGUUGGUGGGGUAGUGGCUUACCAAGGCUUUGACGGGUAGCCGGCCUGAGAGGGUGACAGGCCACAUUGGGACUGGGAUACGGCCCAGACUCCUACGGGAGGCAGCAGUGGGGAAUAUUGCACACUGGGCGGAAGCCUGAUGCAGCAACGCCGCGUGCGGGAUGACGGCCUUCGGGUUGUAAACCGCUUUCGCCUGUGACGAAGCGUGAGUGACGGUAAUGGGUAAAGAAGCACCGGCUAACUACGUG